GAUGAAAUGGCCGAAUAAUAAGCGAUAAAUUGUAAAUUUAUAAAUGAAUGGGAAUUCUUUCAUCA
rnacentral:tRNA from 1 species